UCAGGCUUUUGCUGACAAUGGAGGUGUUUGUGGUAACAGAAGGAAGUAACCCUGGACAAUCUUCUCCAGGAAGCCAUCACAAAUCUCCUUUUGGCGCUCUUCAUGCUCUUUUUUUCAGUGGACUCCUAAACUUCGGGAAUGGUGAGCAAUGACCUGAUUGAAGAACUCCCUCUAGCAACUCUUGAAGUACAGGUGAGCUGGCACUGAAGCUACAAGACAAUGUCUUUUCCACUAUUCCCUUUCCUUUCCACAAGCAGAGGAGUCUUUUCCCCUGGCCACCACUGCCCAAGGCUUUCAGUGAGUACUACCUGGCUAUUUGAUGUUCAGUCAGUGUCCAAGGGCUCUUCAGUCAGCAUGAGGUGAAUAUUGCCAGGACUGUGGACUCCCCUGUGGCUCAGGGCAUGUUUAGAAAUGCCAUCUAAAAACCAAGGCCUAGAACUAGGGACCCCAAGAACCCAGCUGGUACUCUGCCUCACUGUGGCUGAGUUGGUACCUAAUCA